rnacentral:rRNA from 1 species
CCUACGUGAGGCAGCAGUGAGGAAUAUUGGUCAAUGGACGAGAGUCUGAACCAGCCAAGUCGCGUGAAGGAUGAAUGCCCUAUGGGUUUUAAACUUCUUUUAUAAAGGAAUAAAACGAGGCACGUGUGCCUUUUUGCAUGUACUUUAUGAAUAAGGGUCGGCUAACUCCGUGCCAGCAGCCGCGGUAAUACGGAGGUUCCGAGCGUUAUCCGGAUUUAUUGGGUUUAAAGGGAGCGUAGAUGGGUUGUUAAGUCAGUUGUGAAAGUUUGCGGCUCAACCGUAAAAUUGCAAUUGAUACUGGCAGUCUUGAGUACAGUUGAGGUAGGCGGAAUUCGUGGUGUAGCGGUGAAAUGCGUAGAUAUCACGAAGAACCCCGAUUGCGAAGGCAGCUUACUAAACUGUGACUGACACUGAUGCUCGAAAGUGUGGGUAUCAAACAGGAUUAGAUACCCCUGUAGUC